GGAGAGCCUGUGAUGGAGAAGGUGCAUAAGGAGGAUGUUAGGCCUCAGCCUCCUCAUGAAAGGGGAAAAAGAUGGAAGGUUGGUGAUGUAGCUGAUGUGUUCGAUACUCGAUGUUGGAGNUGGGAAAAUUGCAAAGGUUUUGAAGAACAACCAUUUUGUCAUAAAAUUGUUUGGAUCCAUCCAGCUCAAAGAAUUUCAUGAAUCUAAUCUAAGGAUUCGGCAAGUCUGGCAUAACAAUAAUU
rnacentral:misc_RNA from 1 species